CAGUCGCGUUGGUUGGGAAUCAGUCUUGCUUCUGCAUGAUGUACUUUCCAGUCAAUGGGUCAGCAUCAGUUUUGACUGCUGGAUAAAGGCUGAGGGAAUGUGGCACCUUUGGGUGUGUUAUAGCCCUUGGUUGUAUACCGUGGUUGGGACUGAGGAUUGCAGCGGACACCCCCGUGGGGGCCGGCGACCGAACCCUGCCUCGGCCACCUCGUUCGAUAGCGUGCUAGCGGACGCGGGAGCGGCAGUGCACCGGAACAGGCAAGCCAGCGGUUCG
rnacentral:rRNA from 1 species